rnacentral:rRNA from 1 species
GUGGGGAAUAUUGGACAAUGGGCGAAAGCCUGAUCCAGCCAUGCCGCGUGUGUGAAGAAGGUCUUCGGAUUGUAAAGCACUUUAAGUUGGGAGGAAGGGCAGUAAGUUAAUACCUUGCUGUUUUGACGUUACCGACAGAAUAAGCACCGGCUAACUUCGUGCCAGCAGCCGCGGUAAUACGAAGGGAGCAAGCGUUAAUCGGAAUUACUGGGCGUAAAGAGCGCGUAGGUGGUUUUGUAAGUUGGAGGUGAAAUCCCCGGGCUCAACCUGGGAACUGCCUCCAAAACUGCAUGACUAGAGUACGGUAGAGGGUAGUGGAAUUUCCUGUGUAGCGGUGAAAUGCGUAGAUAUAGGAAGGAACACCAGUGGCGAAGGCGACUACCUGGACUGAUACUGACACUGAGGUGCGAAAGCGUGGGGAGCAAACAGGAUUAGAAACCCGGGUAGUCC